GAUCAGAUGGAUAAAACUAUAAGUACUUAUGGAGCAAGAUAUAUAUGCAUGGAUAUGAAUGGGUCAUUCAUCAAAUAGCUACUGAUUGCCUCCACUGUGUUUCUAGAUAAUGGGGAUAAAAUAGUUAACAAAACACACAAAAUCCCUACUCUUCUGGAGCCUUUGUUUCCAGUGGGGAAGAUAGACAAGAAAUGCAAUGGUUUUUCUGACUUCUCAGGGCUCUGAGACAGAAAAGUCUCCUCAUGGAACAUCACGGUCUUCCAGGAUCUCCAGGCCAACC
rnacentral:lncRNA from 1 species